rnacentral:lncRNA from 1 species
UUCUAAUCUAGAACUCUCUUCCUCUCUUUCAAUAACAGGACAGUUCUCUUGUAAGUUAUCGUUUCCCUACUUGUGACUUAAGCAGUCAUGAACAUACAUGGCAUAAAAGGUCAAUGCAAGAUUAGGCAAGUAUGAGUAUACAGUCAUGAUCCCAGAGCUUCUAUGGAAGGCCAUGUCAUAUGGGAUAUUUAUUGUUUCCAGAAGUACACAUUUUUCUUUCAUCUGUCUUUCCUCUCAGCAAGACAAAUCAAAUAUGCAUUCUAGGGACAAGGCACAGAUUAAAACCUGUGAAGGGUGAAGCCUAGUGCCUAUAUCAAUGGGUCACGCAUCUAGUUCUGUAUCUCAUCCUCUUUGAGCAGAAACAGAAGUCCACGCAACUAGACUUGAGAACCAGGUAACCAGAGGAAGGCAUCUGACCGUGG